rnacentral:rRNA from 1 species
AUUGAACGCUGGCGGCAUGCCUUACACAUGCAAGUCGAACGGUAACGCGGGGCAACCUGGCGACGAGUGGCGAACGGGUGAGUAAUGCAUCAGAACGUGCCCAGUAGUGGGGGAUAGCCCGGCGAAAGCCGGAUUAAUACCGCAUACGACCUACGGGUGAAAGCGGGGGACUCGCAAGAGCCUCGCGCUAUUGGAGCGGCCGAUGUCAGAUUAGGUAGUUGGUGGGGUAAAAGCCUACCAAGCCGACGAUCUGUAGCUGGUCUGAGAGGACGACCAGCCACACUGGGACUGAGACACGGCCCAGACUCCUACGGGAGGCAGCAGUGGGGAAUUUUGGACAAUGGGCGCAAGCCUGAUCCAGCCAUGCCGCGUGCGGGAAGAAGGCCUCGGGUUGUAACCGCUUUGUCAGGGAGAAACGCUCUGGGUCUAAUACCCUGGGUAAUGACGGUACCUGAAGAAUAAGCACCGGCUAACU